rnacentral:rRNA from 1 species
AACGAACGCUGGCGGCAUGCCUAACACAUGCAAGUCGAACGAGGCCUUCGGGUCUAGUGGCGCACGGGUGCGUGACGCGUGGGAACCUGCCCUUAGGUUCGGAAUACCUCCCCGAAAGGGGUGCUAAUACCGGAUAAUGUCUUCGGACCAAAGAUUUAUCGCCUUUGGAUGGGCCCGCGUUGGAUUAGCUAGUUGGUAGGGUAAAAGCCUACCACGGCGACGAUCCAUAGCUGGUCUGAGAGGAUGGUCAGCCACACUGGGACUGAGACACGGCCCAGACUCCUACGGGAGGCAGCAGUGGGGAAUAUUGGACAAUGGGCGAAAGCCUGAUCCAGCAAGGCCGCGUGAGUGAUGAAGGCCUGAGGGUUGUAAAGCUCUUUUACCCGGGAUGAUAAUGACAGUACCGGGAGAAUAAGCUCCGGCUAACUCCGUG